AAGCGGCAACAGCUCAAAUUUGAAAUCUGGCUCUUUUAGAGUCCGAGUUGUAAUUUGCAGAGGGCGCUUUGGCUUUGGAGCGGUCCAAGUUCCUUGGAACAGGACGUCACAGAGGGUGAGAAUCCCGUACGUGGUCGCUGGCUAUUGCCGUGUAAAGCCCCUUCGACGAGUCGAGUUGUUUGGGAAUGCAGCUCUAAAUGGGAGGUACAUUUCUUCUAAAGCUAAAUAUUGGCCAGAGACCGAUAGCGCACAAGUAGAGUGAUCGAAAGAUGAAAAGCACUUUGGAAAGAGAGUCAAACAGCACGUGAAAUUGUUGAAAGGGAAGCGCUUGCAGCCAGACUUGCUUGCAGUUGCUCAUCCGGGCUUUUGCCCGGUGCACUCUUCUGCAGGCAGGCCAGCAUCAGUUUGGGCGGUAGGAUAAAGGUCUCUGUCACGUACCUCUCUUCGGGGAGGCCUUAUAGGGGAGACGACAUACUACCAGCCUGGACUGAGGUCCG
rnacentral:rRNA from 1 species